rnacentral:rRNA from 1 species
GACGAACGCUGGCGGCGUGCCUAACACAUGCAAGUCGAACGGAAAGGCCUCUUUCGGGGGGUACUCGAGUGGCGAACGGGUGAGUAACACGUGAGUAACCUGCCCUUGACUUUGGGAUAACUUCAGGAAACUGGGGCUAAUACCGGAUAGGAGCUCCUGCUGCAUGGUGGGGGUUGGAAAGUUUCGGCGGUUGGGGAUGGACUCGCGGCUUAUCAGCUUGUUGGUGGGGUAGUGGCUUACCAAGGCUUUGACGGGUAGCCGGCCUGAGAGGGUGACCGGCCACAUUGGGACUGAGAUACGGCCCAGACUCCUACGGGAGGCAGCAGUGGGGAAGAUUGCACAAUGGGUGGAAGCCUGAUGCAGCAACGCCGUGUGCGGGAUGACGGCCUUCGGGUUGUAAACCGCUUUCGCUCAUGACGAAGCUUUGUGUGACGGUAGUGGGUAAAGAAGCACCGGCUAACUACGUG